UACGAAGGGUGCAAGCGUUACUCGGAAUUACUGGGCGUAAAGGGCGCGUAGGCGGCCUACUAAGUCAGACGUGAAAUCCCCCGGCUUAACCUGGGAACUGCGUCUGAUACUGGAAGGCUUGAGGAUGGGAGAGGGAUGUAGAAUUCCAGGUGUAGCGGUGAAAUGCGUAGAUAUCUGGAGGAAUACCGGUGGCGAAGGCGGCAUCCUGGACCAUUACUGACGCUGAGGCGCGAAAGCUAGGGGAGCAAACGGG
rnacentral:rRNA from 1 species